UUAAGGGUAGUAUAAUGAAUACAGUUCGCUUACAACGAACCAUUCCAGUUGGUCCUUAAU
rnacentral:tRNA from 1 species